rnacentral:lncRNA from 1 species
AAAUGAUAUUUGCCUUUUAGGAAAUGCAUAAUAAAACCUGAUCUGUUUCUCUGCAGGAUGUCUCUGCAGCUGGGUCUGCAUUCUGUGGUGAGCUAGUAAGCUGCUAGUAGGAUGCUCGCAAGUAGUGCCUGUGCUGCUGUCUCCAUUCACACAAAAUCUUAGCUGACUGCCACAUUAAUUACUAAGAAGUCAGACUGAGCCUCUUAAAAGAGCUAUCUAUCUUCUGAUGGAACAGCUGGGUUUUCCUCUGUCUCUCCUGUUCCUGUCUGUACUUCCAGCAGUGUGACUUCAAGGCAGGGAAGACAAGAGAACGCAAUCCAUAGGAGGUACCUGCUUCUCAUCACUGUCAGGAAGAACGCUCAAGGCUGCUCAGAAACAAUCAGCUCCUACAAGCUAAUGAGAACCUUAGCAGUACUUUAUUGUAGAAACCCUAUAGAAGUCUGUGUCACAGGGCAAUGACAUACACACUAAAAGACAGGUUGGUGACAGCUGGUUCCAGUACACGAGACCCUCUCAUAGCUCUAACCCGUGAUUCAUCCAAUAGAAAAAUAUCUGGAUAACCUUUCUGUAGUAAGAAGCUUUAAUUCAUAAUUCAGACAUAUUGAAAUAUUAAGUAAUUAUCUUCCAAUUAUUAAUUGCUAUAAAAAGGCAUGUCUGACAUUUAUUUAUUUAUUUAUUUAUUUCACUGCAGAAAAGAACCCCAACAAAUUCUAUGCAUAUUUCAAUGACGGUGAAACCCUUCAGUUUGUCCUUGGUAAUCUAUGUCCAUAUCUCUGCUUCAGUGCAAUGAGCACAUCCCACUAAGACUGCACAUGAAUCAGCAAGGGGCUCCUUAAUUUGAUAAGAAGUUUCAGAGCUUGGAGGGGGAGGAAAUUCAUGAACUGGAGAGACCAUAGGAAAAGGCUCGGCUACAAACCAGGGUCCUACAUCUUCAGAUCUGAGACCUGAUUUGUUUGUGAAAGAGCUGCAGCCUGCAUUACAUUGAUAGAGAUUUCUGUUCGCUGCUUAGC